GUCUACAGCCAUACCACCCCGAACUUCACAAUCUCGCCUGAUCUCGAAAGCUAAGCAGGGUUGGGCCCGGUUAGUACUUGGAUGGGAGACAUUGUGAUGAACACU
rnacentral:rRNA from 1 species